rnacentral:rRNA from 1 species
UCACCUACGGGAGGCAGCAGUGGGGGAUAUUGCACAAUGGGGGGAACCCUGAUGCAGCGACGCCGCGUGGGUGAAGGAGUAUUUCGGUAUGUAAAGCCCUAUCGGCAGGGAAGAAGCAAGACGGUACCCGACCAAGAAGCCCCGGCUAACUACGUGCCAGCAGCCGCGGUAAUACGUAGGGGGCGAGCGUUAUCCGGAAUUACUGGGGGUAAAGGGAGGGUAGACGGCGAGGUAAGCCUGAAGGGGAAGCCAGGGGGCCAACCGCGGGACUGCUUUGGG